AUUGAACGCUGGCGGCAGGCCUAACACAUGCAAGUCGAACGGUAGCACAGGAGAGCUUGCUCUCUGGGUGACGAGUGGCGGACGGGUGAGUAAUGCAUGGGGAGCUGCCCAAUCGAGGGGGAUACCAGCUGGAAACGGCUGCUAAUACCGCAUACGCCCUGAGGGGGAAAGGUGGGGACCUUCGGGCCUACCGCGAUUGGAUGCACCCAUGUGGGAUUAGCUAGUUGGUGAGGUAACGGCUCACCAAGGCGACGAUCUCUAGCUGGUCUGAGAGGAUGACCAGCCACACUGGAACUGAGACACGGUCCAGACUCCUACGGGAGGCAGCAGUGGGGAAUAUUGCACAAUGGGGGAAACCCUGAUGCAGCCAUGCCGCGUGUGUGAAGAAGGCC
rnacentral:rRNA from 1 species